UAGAUCAGCACCAGCUCAUUUCAGCUCCCAGUUCAGGGCUAAAUACACAGUGGGCCUUCAUCAAAUACUUCCCUUUUUUCUUAUUCAGUAAGGAGUAGGUGAAAGAAUAAGUAUAAAAGGGAAGGAAAGGGUUGAGGCGGGAGUGGGGGUGUAGCAUCAGGUGACGAUUAAGAUUUGAGGUUGAGGUUUCCAUGUAGGUCUAGAACAUAUUUGGAGCCAGGAUGUAGGAGAAGAGCUGAGGUGGACUGCACCCAGCCUUGAGGAGGCAGUUAGGGCUGGAGAGAAGAUAAGGACUGGGAUCAAUAUUGGGGAGCGGGUACAACCAGGGAUGAGGUUGGUGUUGACAUCAGGAAGAGGACUCUGGCAGGCAUUUGGAUGAGGAUUGGGGUGGAGUAUGGGUUCCUGUGGAUGUUUGAAGAUGGAAGUUUGCUGUUAAAGUAAGGAUUGGGGAAGAAGCUGUGCGGGUCGUCGCAGCAGUACUUGUGGUCGCGGAAGCCACAGCAGAAGACAGCGGCCGCCUCGCCCCCUGGCCGUGGGCAGCUGAAGCCGUGCACCACCUCCUGCUCCGCGCUCACGUAGCUCGUGCAAGCGCCGGUCAUUGCGCCCCUCGCCCGGCCCGCCCUUUCGGCCACCAGACGGCUGGCGAGACAAGGGCCGGUGGAACGAAAGACUGGUGAAGACCGAGCCUAAGAAAGACUGAGAGAUUAGCAGAGGACAGUAGCCAAGAUUACUCCAGAUGGAGGAGCAUGAAGCCUGGCACUAGGCAAGCCCCAACAGGAAACAAUUUCUGCAUGGUACUCAAAACAAUGCCCUCUUGACCUUGGCUGCCUUGCUCCUGAAGCUGAGUUCCCCCAGGAGGGUCCGGAAAGAAACGACCCCUUGACCCCUCGCUGUGGUUGGCCUCACCAGAAGACUGGAUGACUGCAGUCAAGGGAGAUUGACAACUCAGGGGCAACUUGAGGCCCUAAUAACCAGUUCCUCUCCAUGUCACACAGCAAUCAAUGACCCAGGCAGAACUGGUACACAACCUCAGUCGUAUGUGUGGUCCAUGACUCGUCCCUGGCCUCUGAAUUUGUGGAGUGGAGCAGUACCUUUCCAUGCACCCUGCUGCCCCAAAUACACCUGCCCCACAGUGUGGACCCUGCCACAGACAUAUUCCCACUGCCAGGCUCCUCAUCGUUCACAGCAGCUGGAGAAGCAAAGGAAGUAUGUGGACCUCAGAGUGCCUGCUGAGGAAGGAUUCUUUCCCUUCAAGAAUGAGGCUGAUGUCUCAUUGUGAGGAAAGUGACUAUCCCCCAACAUCAAAUCCAGGGGUGAAUCUGGGAUGGUGGUGCAGAUCUCCUGAAACCACCCAGGAUCUUUCCCACUCUCUGAGACUACCACCCUUUGCAGGUUUGGGACUAUUUGCUGUUUGUUUUAUUACACCCCGCCCCACCUUUUUCCCCCCUUGUACUGGAGAUGGAAUCCAGGAGCCCUCUGUCACUGAGUUACAUCUUUUCAUUUUUUAAUUUGACUCAGUGUCUUGCUACAUCGUUGAGGCUGGCUUUGAACUUGCAAUCCUCCCGCAAGACUCCUGAGUUGCUGAGAUUACAGGUGAGCACACUGCAUGUGGCUUACCAUGAAACCUUUAAGACACACAGCAGAACUACCUCUGUACCCUCCACUUGGUUUAAGGAAAAAAAAAAGAAAGUCAGUCUUGUUUGAAGUCUCAUGUACUCCUCCCUCCUCCCCCAGAGGUAACCACUCUCUCAAAUUGGGUGUUAAUCAUUCCCAUGCUCUUUUUAUUACUAUUAUUAUUUUAGUGUAGAUGGACACAAUACCUUUAUUUUAUUUAUUUUUGUAUGGUGCUGAGGAUCAAACCCAGUGCCUCAAACAUGCUAGGCAAGCACUCUACCACUGAGCCAUAACCCCAGCCCAUUCCCACACCCUUAUUUAUGCUAUCAUAUAUGCAUGGAUUUUUAAGCAAUAUGUGGAACUGCUUUGCAUGUAUUACAUUUUUAAUAAACAGCAUCAUACCACAGGUGUUCUUGAACCUAGUUUUUUGUUUAGCCUUAUGUUUGUGAGCUUUGUUUAUUCUGAUAUACAUGUUCUAUCUAGUUUAUUCAUUUUUGCUGCUGUAUAGUUUUCCAUUUUGUACACAUAUAAUGAAUUUAUUAUCCAUAUUUAGGUUUCUUCCAGAUUUUUUUUUUAGUACUGAUGAUUGAACAAAGAACCUUGCACAUAUUAGGCAAGUGCUCUAUCACUUAGCUAUAUCCCCAGCCUUUCUACCAUUUUUUUUAAAAUUGUUGUUACAAUUAUCUCUUGAGGGUUUUUUUUUUCUUUAGGUGCUAAGAUUCAAAUCCAGGGCCUAUGUACACAAGUGCUCUACCACUAAGUCCUAAGGUGUUUUUUCCUUUUAAAAUCAAUUUUAUUUAGAUGUAUUUUACAAAAAAAUAAAAUCUACUUAUUUUUAAGUGUAUAGCAUGGUGAAUUUUGAUAAAUUUGUCCAUCCAUGUAAAAAAAUACAUCACCCUCCCAUGGGUCCCUUUUGCAGUCAGCCCUCCUCUCCCUGAGCCUUAACUUAUGCAGAACUAGUCUGCUCUUUGUCCCUUAUUAGAUUAAUUCUGCCUAUUCUAAGAUUUUUGUAUUAAUGGAAUUAAACACCUCCACAGUCAAAAUAUAGUACACUUCAUUGUAGUGGGAAAUGAGGGUCAGGGCAUUGAGAUUUGGAAGUAACACUUUUAUAGUGGCACUAAGGCCUAGAAGGAUAGUUCCCAAAGUCUGAGCCUCAAACACAGGAGGGCUUUUACUUUUAUAAGUAAGCAAGUUUGGAGUACAUCAAGGGAAGAGAGUUUGUGCAAUUCUAUUGGAGGGUGCAUUCUGCAUUCCUUCUUUUUUUUAAUGUGAUGCUGGGGAUUGAACCCAGGGCCUUGUGCAUGCAAGGCUAACACUCUACCAACUGAGCUAUAACCCCACCCUCUACAUGAGUACAAGUUUAUAAACAACCUAGGGACUCUUAGCUCAUACAGCUUAGGAAUUUUUAUUGCACUAAGCCUGAAGGGAGAUUGUUCUGUUCCCGUUACUAUUUCCUGCUUCUGCUACUGUGGUUAUC